rnacentral:rRNA from 1 species
UACAGAGGUCCCAAGCGUUGUUCGGAUUCACUGGGCGUAAAGGGUGCGUAGGCGGUCGGGUAAGUCCGACGUGAAAUCUCCGGGCCUAACCCGGAAACUGCGUCGGAUACUAUCCGGCUAGAGGAUUGGAUGGGAGACUGGAAUACUUGGUGUAGCAGUGAAAUGCGUAGAUAUCAAGUGGAACACCAGUGGCGAAGGCGAGUCUCUGGACAAUUCCUGACGCUGAGGCACGAAAGCCAGGGGAGCAAACGGG